AUGCAUCAGCUGAUUCUAAUGGGAAUAUCAAAAUCCAGGGGAGACCUUCAAAUUUGUCCUGAAAUAGAGCGACUGGAUUCGUAUGGCCCUGUUUCAAUCAGUUGUCUUCAGGCUGCACUAGGAGGCCUUAGACGAGGUGGCUCUCUUUAGCAGAGAGUAAUUUGCAGAGAGGGCUCACAUCUGAGAGCUAUCUGACAGCAGCACUUCCAGCAGCUAGGAGAAUAAUUCCUUCAUGUUAAAGGUCCAGGUAGGAAGAUUUAAAGCUCUGGGUAAGGUUGCACAAGACUGCAUCCACUAUAUUUUAUCCUUUGUGCCGCUUGGAUCCACUUGCUUCAUAAAAUUUCUGGGAACAGAUCCAUCAGGAUUCUGGUGGACCUCAUUUCCCAGAGGAAAUGUGUAAAAGGAAGUUUAGUGGGAUUAACUAUAGCCUCUCCCACUGAAGCCAGGCACUUGCUCACAACUGAUGCUCAUCAUCUCCAUCCUCCACUAUCCAUUCAAGAUUCCCCUCACCUUUGGCUAGGAGCUCAACUUGUUUAGGAGGUUUAUUUGGUGACAGAACAAAGAACCUCAUACCUGAAGUUCCUGAUACCCUGGUAACCAUGCUAUGGUUUGCAUGCGGCUGCAACACUCAUUCUUUAACUGAUUAUCUGCUGUGUUUUCUCAUUACUUUAUAAAGCAAGUACUGAUUGGGUGAAGAAGGAGUUGUCUCCUACCCGUUGCGAUUCCUGUAAUAUGCUCACUCUUUGGGAAAAUGAUCUUGGAACCAGCGACUCCCGAUGCCAUGUGUGAAUCAUAGCACUAGGAGGGGAUGGGAAGAGCUGAGGAAGGGAGGAGAAGAAGAGAAAGCAGUCGAUGGUUCCAUUCCUUGUGCACACAUCCCCUCACUGAUGGAAGUACUGAGUUUGAUCAGAAAUCCUGCCUGCUCCAGCCCAUGAGUUAAGAGAACAACCCACCUUAAGAUGGACAUGUUACUUGCUUUUCCAAUCAUUUUUCCAGAAUAAUACAACUAAUACUUCCCAUCAGACCUGGCAUCUCAGGUGGCUACAUCAUGGUUUUGAAUAUCUGGUUCCCAGGAUUGGUGGCCAAGAGAAGAUCUCAAAAAAAAAUAAGAAGUAGAGGAGGGGGGUGGAAUUAGGGCUCGGUUGUUCCCUCUGCUGCUGCUUCUGCUUAUGCACAGCACGUUCCCAGAGACCAUGCAGCUGACGUGCAGCAGACUUCUAGUUUUUGUUCAGGUCUGGUUUUGAUCUGCAGUGUUCAGGGAUGAGCAAUUCCUUUCAAGCUAUUUGCAAACCUUGUCAAAGCCUGAUUGCAGCAUGACAUUGAUGACAGACUGAUUAUUACUUGUCUCAAAAAGCAGUGAAAGAACAUAUUGGCUUUCAUGCAAACAUCCAGCUUGUCAUUAGCGUACAGUGCAAAUGGCAGCGGUUUUAUACCGGAAUCCUGGAAGCAUAGGCAAAAGGAGGCAUCUCUGUUUCUACUGGUUCUGGAAAGAUUUCAAUACAAUUUGGGGGACAAUUUUUGUUAAGUGAAAUUCCUACAGGCAUCAAGACAAACGGUCUAGUUUUGAAAUUUCGCUGGGUUUUCUUGAGAGACAUUUAUUCCAGUAGACCAGACAGAAAAAAAAAGAAAGAAAACAUGUAAAAUAAUAUUAAAAUAUAAACUUCUUUUUCCAGUAAAGAAAUCUAAUAAAGCUUAGAAGAGAGUCCAGUUGCAAAGUUCUGUGAACUUGGAAGCUCUAAAUACUAAGUUUUGAUAAUUUCUUGAUAACUCGAGCCAGAUCCAACCAGAUAAAUAAAUCAGCUACUUGGGAUGGGAAUCAGACCUUGCAGUAGGUGCUGAUCCUUUUCAAACCACAGGAACUCCAUUGCAUUAAAGAAGCAUAUGUAUUCUGAAGUCCUUUCCAAGAAUUAAAAACUGUAUAAUUUCCAUUUUAUCCAAGAGUCAUGAAACUUACCUACAUGUCUACUUGAUACUUAGGAGAAGUUACUAGCUGGAAACUAGUGGUAUCUACAAUCAGGAUCUUGUAUUGCCUCCUCCUUUAUGUUCCUUUUGCUAUCUCUUGCUUCUCUUGGUAGAAAGGUAAAGGGGUAAUCUCAUUAGGCCAUCACUCAUUCACAGAAAGAACAAUCACAUCAAUUUCUUUUAAAAAAUCUUCACUCUUGAAAGAGAUAAAUUUUUUAAAGUUAAUUGGAACAUUUAAUUGAAAAAAAUUUAUAUGAACAUGGUAAAAUGUAAAUCAAAUGUGUAAAUGAGAAUUUAAUAAAAGGAAAAUCUUUCUUCCCCUGCAGAUUCCCAAUACCUUAUCCCAAGAGAGAAUCACUGAUAUGCAUACAAAUGUUUAUUGCUCCCCAAUUUUUACAUAAAUUGAAGCAGAACUCAACAUAGUAUUCUUCACCGUGUUUUAUUCUCUUGGCAAUAUUGGGAGCUGUGGAGAUAGGACUUUAGAUGGUCCUGAAUUCCUAUCAUCUUACUUGGGAUGGCCAGAUCCCCGAGAUGACUGGAAGUGAUGUUUGAUUCAGAAUUUGAGAAAUGGGAGAGGUUGGAAUACCAUCAGUCUCUGGAGGCAGCUAAUCUGACUCAGCGUCUCUAUCAAAAAUAUUGCUCUGCAAAAAACGCAGUCCUGUCAUCACUGAAACACCUAGAGUUUCUGCAUCCCCUGUGCAUCCUUCACUUGACUCCUUGACUGCCUGCAUCGGUUCUGAUGGCCGUGGACCAAAUCUCCAUUUCUUCAUCUCAGAAUAAUGCUCCCCAGAGCUGCUUUCUGGAGCUAUUCAUAGAUAAGAGCAAUAACGAGCCCAACAGCAUGGCUUCCUUUUCUGUAUUCUGUGACAUUCUCGUCUCAGCCGACGGUGUCUGGCAGCCGCACAAUGAGGCUCUGCAUGUGUCACGGAGAUGGAUGAUACCUGCAGUGUCUGAAUCUCCACGCUGACUCGAUGAGCUCCUGCUGAACCUUACCUCCGGGAUGUGAGAUUCUGUGCCAUUGGUUUAGAAAGGCAAACCACCCCCUUCUAAGAAAUGUCUUAUUUUCUCCCAAUACAAAAUACUUUAAUGGAAAUAAUGGCACACAUUAG
rnacentral:lncRNA from 1 species